AUACGGAGGGUGCAAGCGUUAAUCGGAAUUACUGGGCGUAAAGCGCGCGUAGGCGGCUGAUUAAGUCGGAUGUGAAAUCCCUAGGCUCAACCUAGGAACUGCAUCCGAUACUGGUCAGCUAGAGUUUUGGAGAGGUAAGUGGAAUUUCCGGUGUAGCGGUGAAAUGCAUAGAGAUCGGAAGGAACACCAGUGGCGAAGGCGACUUACUGGCCAAAAACUGACGCUGAGGUGCGAAAGCGUGGGUAGCGAACAGGAUUAGAAACCCUUGUAGUCC
rnacentral:rRNA from 1 species